CUCUGCUAGCCUGAGUAACUCUUCCACAGUUUAAUGAAUAGAAGACCUCUUAUGUUAUUUCACAGCCACCAACUUCCCAAAACAUUUUACAAUGAAGUAACUGCAGCUUGUCUUCCUGUGAAUGUCAGAUAAAGAUUCUUCCCUAGACUUAGCAACAGGAGAAAUCCACCACAGUACAGCUUCAAACUAGCCAUUAACACCAAAUAGGAAAGGGAAGAAAUACUACUUCUGAAAAUGUUAAUUCCUGCUCUUCUUACCUCAGAAAGAACCCUUCUGCAGGACAGAUGACUUCUUUGCUAACUUAGAGACAGCAGAAAGACACAAAUCCUUUGGUAAGAAAAUAUGGAAUCCACUCAUUAUGCUGCUCUCAGGAUUAAUAAUGAAGAUGGUUAUUGUGAAUGCAGUGGAGGAGAAAUGUUUCCAUUCUACAUGGAAAAAAAUAGUAUAAACAACAGGAUUAAACAUGUUGGAAGAGAAGGAAAACAUCAUAAACACCCCUGGAACCAUGAAUUAAAAUUCUAUAAACUGCUUAAUCCAAAGGUGUGAAGUUAUAAAAUACACAUGCCAAAUAAAGAGCUUGAUACUGUCA
rnacentral:lncRNA from 1 species